rnacentral:rRNA from 1 species
GUCUGCAACUCGACUGCAUGAAGCCGGAAUCGCUAGUAAUCGCGGAUCAGAAUGCCGCGGUGAAUACGUUCCCGGGUCUUGUACACACCGCCCGUCACACCAUGGGAGUCGGAAAUGCCCGAAGCCGGUGGCCUAACCGAUAAGGGAGGAGCCGUCGAAGGCAGGUCUGAUGACUGGGGUGAAGUCGUAACAAGGUAUC